rnacentral:rRNA from 1 species
UACAGAGGUCUCAAGCGUUGUUCGGAUUCAUUGGGCGUAAAGGGUGCGUAGGCGGCGCGGUAAGUCGGGUGUGAAAUCUCGGAGCUUAACUCCGAAACUGCAUUCGAUACUGCCGUGCUUGAGGACUGGAGAGGAGACUGGAAUUCUCGGUGUAGCAGUGAAAUGCGUAGAUAUCGAGAGGAACACCAGUGGCGAAGGCGAGUCUCUGGACGACACCUGACACUGAGGCACGAAAGCUAGGGGAGCAAACAGG